GACGAACGCUGGCGGCGUGCCUAAUACAUGCAAGUAGAACGCUGAAGAGAGGAGCUUGCUCUUCUUGGAUGAGUUGCGAACGGGUGAGUAACGCGUAGGUAACCUGCCUGGUAGCGGGGGAUAACUAUUGGAAACGAUAGCUAAUACCGCAUAAAAUUGAUUAUUGCAUGAUAAUUAAUUGAAAGAUGCAACUGCAUCACUACCAGAUGGACCUGCGUUGUAUUAGCUAGUUGGUGAGGUAACGGCUCACCAAGGCGACGAUACAUAGCCGACCUGAGAGGGUGAUCGGCCACACUGGGACUGAGACACGGCCCAGACUCCUACGGGAGGCAGCAGUAGGGAAUCUUCGGCAAUAGGGGGAACCCUGACCGAGCAACGCCGCGUGAGUGAAGAAGGGUUUCGGAUCGUAAAGCUCUGUUGUAAGAGAAGAACGGGUGUGAGAGUGGAAAGUUCACACUGUGACGGUAUCUUACCAGAAAGGGACGGCUAACUACGUG
rnacentral:rRNA from 1 species